GGCCUACGGGGCGCAGCAGUAGGGAAUUUUCGUCAAUGGGCGCAAGCCUGAACGAGCAAUGCCGCGUGAACGAGGAAGGUCUUCGGAUCGUAAAGUUCUGUUGAAGGGGAAAAAGAGCGGAGAGAGGAAAUGGUCUCCGAUUGAUAUUACCCUUCGAGGAAGUCACGGCUAACUACGUACCAGCAGCCGCGGUAAUACGUAGGGGGCGAGCGUUAUCCGGAUUCACUGGGUGUAAAGGGAGCGUAGACGGCCAUGCAAGCCAGGGGUGAAAGCCCGGGGCCCAACCCCGGGACUGCCCUUGGAAC
rnacentral:rRNA from 1 species